CAGUAGCCGCGGUAAUACGAAGGGUGCAAGCGUUAAUCAGAAUUACUGGGCGUAAAGCGUGCGUAGGUGGUGGUUUAAGUCCGUUGUGAAAGCCCUGGGCUCAACCUGGGAAUUGCAGUGGAUACUGGGUCACUAGAGUGUGGUAGAGGAUAGUGGAAUUUCCGGUGUAGCAGUGAAAUGCGUAGAGAUCGGAAGGAACAUCUGUGGCGAAGGCGACUAUCUGGGCCAACACUGACACUGAGGCACGAAAGCGUGGGGAGCAAACAGGAUUAGAUACCCCUGUAGUCCCUGUCUCUUAUAC
rnacentral:rRNA from 1 species